AGUGGAGGAGGAGGAACGAGCAGCCUGAAAGCAGCCCUUCUGGGCUGCUCCUUCCUCCUCCUCCGUC